AGAGUUUGAUUAUGGCUCAGAGUGAACGCUGGCGGCGUGCUUAACACAUGCAAGUCGAACGGUAACAGGAAAUAGCUUGCUAUUUUGCUGACGAGUGGCGCACGGGUGAGUAAACUAUAGUUAAUGUACCCCAAAGACUGGGAUAGCCACUGGAAACGGUGAUUAAUACUAGAUACACCUUCUUAUCAUAAGGUAAGAAGGGAAAUGUCUUUUCGCUUUGGGAUCAGACUAUAUCCUAUCAGCUAGUUGGUGAGGUAAUGGCUCACCAAGGCAAUGACGGGUAGCGGUUCUGAGAGGAUGAUCCGCCACACUGGUACUGAGACACGGACCAGACUCCUACGGGAGGCAGCAGUGAGGAAUAUUGCACAAUGGGGGGAACCCUGAUGCAGCAACGCCGCGUGGAGGAUGACGCAUUUCGGUGUGUAAACUCCUUUUAUAUGUCAAGAAAAUGACGGUAGCAUAUGAAUAAGCACCGGCUAACUCCGUGCCAGCAGCCGCGGUAAUACGGAGGGUGCAAGCGUUACUCGGAAUCACUGGGCGUAAAGGACG
rnacentral:rRNA from 1 species